rnacentral:rRNA from 1 species
GGCGCACGGGUGAGUAACACGUGGAUAACCUACCCUCUGGCGGGGGACAACCACUCGAAAGGGUGGCUAAUACCGCAUAAGUCGAUCGGGCCUGCGGGUCUGGUCGGGAAAGCUGGCGAUCUCUUCGGAGAGCUGGCACCAGAGGAGGGGUCCGCGUCGCAUCAGCUAGUUAGUGAGGUAACGGCUCACCAAGGCUCAGACGCGUAGCUGGUCUGAGAGGAUGAUCAGCCACACUGGGACUGAGACACGGCCCAGACUCCUACGGGAGGCAGCAGUGGGGAAUAUUGGACAAUGGGCGAAAGCCUGAUCCAGCCACGCCGCGUGAGUGAUGAAGGCCUUCGGGUCGUAAAGCUCUGUGGAGAGGGACGAGAGCCCAGCGGUGAAUAUCCGCUGGUUUGACGGUACCUCUUUAGCAAGCACCGGCUAACUCCGUGCCAGCAGCCGCGGUAAUACGGAGGGUGCAAACGUUGCUCGGAAUCAUUGGGCGUAAAGCGCACGUAGGCGGUCUGAU